rnacentral:rRNA from 1 species
CCUACGGGUGGCAGCAGUGGGGAAUAUUGCACAAUGGGGGAAACCCUGAUGCAGCGACGCCGCGUGAGUGAAGAAGUAAUUCGUUACGUAAAGCUCUAUCAGCAGGGAAGAAACACUGACCUUACGGUAAGCAGACGGUACCUGAGUAAGAAGCACCGGCUAACUACGUGCCAGCAGCCGCGGUAAUACGUAGGGGGCAAGCGUUAUCCGGAUUUACUGGGUGUAAAGGGAGCGUAGACGGUGCGCCAAGUAUGGAGUGAAAUGCCGCAGCUUAACUGCGGAACUGCUUUGGAAACUGGCGAACUAGAGUGCGGGAGGGGUAAGCGGAAUUCCUAGUGUAGCGGUGAAAUGCGUAGAUAUUAGGAGGAACACCGGUGGCGAAGGCGGCUUACUGGACCGUAACUGACGUUGAGGCUCGAAAGCGUGGGGAGCAAACAGGAUUAGAUACCCCAGUAGUC